rnacentral:rRNA from 1 species
AUACGGGGGGUGCAAGCGUUAUUCGGAUUUAUUGGGCGUAAUGAGCGCGUAGGCGGCUUGGUAAGUCAGAUGUGAAAGCCCGGGGCUCAACCCCGGAAGUGCAUUUGAAACUAUCAGGCUUGAGUAUGGGAGAGGGAAGUGGAAUUCCUGGUGUAGAGGUGAAAUUCGUAGAUAUCAGGAGGAACACCGGUGGCGAAGGCGACUUCCUGGACCAAUACUGACGCUGAGGCGCGAAGGCGUGGGGAGCAAACAGGAUUAGAUACCCCGGUAGUCC